rnacentral:rRNA from 1 species
UACAGAGGGUGCGAGCGUUAAUCGGAAUUACUGGGCGUAAAGCGUGCGCAGGCGGUUUUGUAAGCCAGAUGUGAAAUCCCCGGGCUCAACCUGGGAAUGGCAUUUGGGACUGCAAGGCUGGAGUGCGGCAGAGGAGACUGGAAUUCCUGGUGUAGCAGUGAAAUGCGUAGAGAUCAGGAGGAAUACCGAUGGCGAAGGCAGGUCUCUGGGCUGAUACUGACGCUCAUGCACGAAAGCGUGGGGAGCAAACAGG